UCCGUAGGUGAACCUGCGGAAGGAUCAUUUAUGAGUUUGAACAGGACUUGAUGCUGGCUAUAUGCAUGUGCUCAGUCCUACUCAAUCCAUUAUACACCUGUGCACUUUCAAAGUUGUAGUCCUCCGUUAUGGGAGCCGUACCUUGUCAUAAGGUACUGGGACUAUAUGCUUUGCCCUUAUUACAAACUUUAUUAUUGUCUUGUAGAAUGUUAAUAGCCUAAGGGCUUAACUUAAUACAACUUUCAACAACGGAUCUCUUGGCUCUCGCAUCGAUGAAGAACGCAGCGAAAUGCGAUAAGUAAUGUGAAUUGCAGAAUUCAGUGAAUCAUCGAAUCUUUGAACGCACAUUGCGCCCCUUGGUAUUCCGAGGGGCAUGCCUGUUCGAGCGUCAUUACACCACUCAAGCCUCGCUUGGUAUUGGGCGCCGCGCUUCGGCGCGCGCCUCAAUGUAUCCGGCUGAGCCAUCCGUCUCUAAGCGUUGUGGCACUUAUGGUUUCCGCUUCGGGGGAGGUUCGGGGGGAGGGGGUCUC
rnacentral:rRNA from 1 species